GAGGCGGAACCAUACGCGCCUCUGCGCAUUCUUAGUGCCAAGUAGCUUGCGCACUGACCACGGAUGUACUGGCAGAAGAUGACAAGCGGCAGGAAGGUCGGUGCGGUUUCGCCCCGGCCUUUUUUGUU
rnacentral:sRNA from 1 species